UGACAGGAAAAACGUAUGCGUACUCAGUCGUGUCUGAUGUAGCAACCAAGUUUUUUUCCAUCUUUUCUUGGGAACAGUAAGCCAUUAGGUCAGGAACCAGCUUCAAUAAAACAGAACUGAUGAAUUCCUGCAAAAAUUAUCAUCUACGGUAAGCAAGAGAGGAACUCCCAAAAAAUGCCAAAGAUAACUCCAGCAGUCUAUGAAGAAGGAAAAGUCCUGGGAAGCUGGUCUUCAAUUGGCAACUCGAGGCCUAAUUGCCAAAAGAUGUCAAGAGCAACAUAACUGCACCUGAGAUGAUGAGUCUGAAGGAUUUGUUCCUGCUGAGCAACAAGCUACAGUUUGGAGCUACCCUGAAGAUGUUCAAGAAUCAGAGACCCUACAGCAAUCAAGAGUAGAUUGAGUUGAAGUGACAAUACUGCUGGUCUCGCUGUUAGUUGAUCUUAUCAAUAUUACAAUUAAUUAUUUUGGAUUUACUAAUAACUAAAAUUUGAGAGAACAAGGACUGUAAAAGGAUUAUUUCUUUAAUAUAACUUCAUAAAUGAUAUUUUUCUUGCCUUUAUUAAGGUAGUUUGCCCAAAAUGGACUGCUCAUCAGUUUCUUAAACAUGUACUAACAUUCAUUUAU